rnacentral:rRNA from 1 species
GAGACCCCUGCCGUUAAUUGCUACCAUUAUCCGCAAGGAUGGUGGAGCUAGUUGGCGGGACUGCCGCCGCUAAGGCGGAGGAAGGAAGGGGCAACGGCAGGUCAGUAUGCCCCGAAACUCCUGGGCCACACGCGGGCUGCAAUGGUAGAGACAAUGGGUUCCUACCUCGAAAGGGGGAGGCAAUCCCCAAACUCUACCCCAUUUGUGACUGAGGGCUGCAACCCGCCCUCACGAAUCUGGAAUCCCUAGUAAUCGCAUGUCAUCACCGUGCGGAGAAUAC